rnacentral:lncRNA from 1 species
AUGUGGUAAGGAACAUUGUAUUUGGAAAGCUUAAUGACUUUUCAAACAAAAUCAUAGGUUAAAAGAGGGAUUACGGGUCAAAAUAAGCAUACGAGUGAAAACGGGUUUAAAUUGUGUAAUAAACCUGUGAUUAUAACCUAAUAUGGUAAAUAACCUUAAUUUGAAGUAGUGUACGUGAUAUAAAGGUUAAACAAGUAUGUUUGUUUGAUAAACGUAUAAACGGGUCAAAAUUUUGGUAAAAGAGUAAUAAGCCGAAGACUUAAAAGUCUUAAAUUUUAUUAAUCCGGAUGUUGGAUUUUAACUCCAUAUGACGGAAGAUUAAAUUACAAUCAUGUAGGAAGAAACGGUAGAUCAAACGGAUAAGCGGUUUGAAAGAUACGAAAGUUUUCGUGUCGAAUAACGGCAAAAAUAGAGAAGCUGGAUGCAGAGUCCACCGUAAUUUACGGUCCCACCGUAAAUUACGGUGGAGAUGAAUUGGUUACGGUGCUAAUUGUCUGUUGUACGGUAGAAGAAUAGAAACCCAGGGGCCACCGUAAUUUACGGUCCCACCGUAAAUUACGGUGGAGAUUAUUUUUUAUAUUUUGUUUUCAUUUGAAAAUCAAUUGUUUCCCGGACAUCGUUCGGACAUGAUUUAAACCCCGUAUGACUAAAGCAUUUCAUGUUUAUGAAAUGUAGGUACACCUUGGACGCCGGAAGACGAUCAAGCUCAGCGAAGAACCGAACACGAUAAUGAUGCACGCUUCCGCACUUUGCUACGUUGUAAUUUUUAAACAACGAAUUCGAUCACGUUAUGUAGAAUAACUUAUGAUUUAUAAAAGUUUUAAUAAACCCGUAUU